rnacentral:rRNA from 1 species
UUGGAGGGCAAGUCUGGUGCCAGCAGCCGCGGUAAUUCCAGCUCCAAUAGCGUAUAUUAAAGUUGUUGCAUUUAAAAAGCUCGUAGUUGAAUUUCGGGAUCUGUACACUGGUCGUGCAUCCUGUAUGUACUGGUGUCACUGAUUCCUCCCUUCUGAAGAACCAUCAUGCCAUUAAUUUGGUGAGUUGCGGAAACUCAUCAUUAUUUAAAAAAUUCAAAGAGUUUUAAGCCAGCUUUGCUUGACUUACUUAAUAUUGAAUAUUGACUA